AUUGAACGCUGGCGGCAGGCCUAACACAUGCAAGUCGAGCGGAUGAAGGGAGCUUGCUCCUGGAUUCAGCGGCGGACGGGUGAGUCAUGCCUAGGAAUCUGCCUCGUAGUGGGGGAUAACGUCCGGAAACGGGCGCUAAUACCGCAUACGUCCUGAUGGAGAAAGUGGGGGAUCUUCGGACCUCACGCUAUCAGAUGAGCCUAGGUCGGAUUAGCUAGUUGGUGGGGUAAAUGCCUACCAAGGCGGCGAUCCGUAACUGGUCUGAGAGGAUGAUCAGUCACACUGGAACUGAGACACGGUCCAGACUCCUACGGGAGGCAGCAGUGGGGAAUAUUGGACAAUGGGCGAGAGCCUGAUCCAGCCAUGCCGCGUGUGUGAAGAAGGUCUUCGGAUUGUAAAGCACUUUAAGUUGGGAGGAAGGGCAGUAAGUUAAUACCUUGCUGUUUUGACGUUACCAACAGAAUAAGCACCGGCUAACUUCGUG
rnacentral:rRNA from 1 species